GGGAGAGUAUUGGAUCGUUAGCGACGACACUGUGUUUCUGCGAAACCACAUGCAGCAAAAAUGUUACGAGAAUUAGAAAUUACGUCUACAGUUUUCUUGAACUUUGGUGUAUACUUCGCAUUGGCGGAUUGUUAUUACAGAUCGUACUAUAGCAGGUACUAUUGCAGUUACAGUUACUAUGACUACAACUACUAUUACAUUGGUGACGGGGCAAUAGCUGGAAUUAUCAUCGGGGUUUUAGCGGCUAUUGGAUUGCUGAUAUUCGUCUUUGUCUGUGUUUGUAUCAAGAACUGCAAGGGAGUUCACUUCCGAACGAGGUCGCGAUUUGGAUGGCCAGUCGCGAAUUUAAAUAGCUCGGUGACGUACCAA